UAGGAGGACCCUGAUCCAACAUCGUGGCUGAUGUGGACUCAGGGGAAGGGAAGCUUGGCUUGCUCCACCAUCCCAGGAGGCAGGUCCAUCUCUCAGGACCAUGGAUUACCAGUACAUGGUAUUCAAGAGCAGAAGGGAAGAGCUCAGGGUUGGGGCCAGCGAGGGCUCCUCAGCAUCUAACAUAAUACAGCCAACACUACCAACAAAUCGGACAAGCACGACUCAGGGGAGGCCAUCAAGGUCAGGAAUCGGACACUAAGAAGGCAGGUGACCCUGGGGCUGCGGCAAGACUCGGCGGUGGGGGAACUGCGCAUAGGGUAAGUCCACAGAUAUGAGAAAACCAGUCACAGGCUGCUGACAGCUGGCAUGGGUGUGAUGACUGGUCCAAUCAGAACCACCCAGAGCAGCAUGUUCUUUUUAAAAUGACCUUCAGAUUGCUACACAGUGUCACUCAGCUUUGUCCAGGAAGGUUAUCACAAUUUAUCUGCUGGUAGAGUUUGCCCCAAACUGUCACCAUGCACUGACUGACAUCAAACUUAAACUUCUGUGCUUCAAAAGAAAGCAGAGUGUGAUCUUCAAUACAAACAUCUAGACUCAAUGUGGAAACUGCACGUGAUCUUCAAAGAAAGUUUGGGCAUGCUUGGUGCAGUGUUGGAUUCUCCUGAAGUGCACAGCAAAGACUUUCUGUUACACCACUUGAUAUGACAUCUGAAGAUGUGAAAUGCAUCAUUCUAUUUUGAAUUCCCCUUGCCUAGAUUGUGGUAGAAAACAAAUCUAUUUGGAAUAGUUUUGUUUUUAUUAUUGAAUAUUCUCUAAAUCUAGCUUCAACCCUUAGUGAACAUGCUGAAUUAACUUCUCCCAGAAAUUACAUUUUACUUUUUUACAAAAAUUA